rnacentral:rRNA from 1 species
UAAGGAAUAUUGGACAAUGGACGCAAGUCUGAUCCAGCCAUGCCGCGUGCAGGAUGAAGGCCCUCUGGGUUGUAAACUGCUUUUAUCAGGGAAGAAAACCCGAUACGUGUAUCGGAUUGCCGGUACCUGAGGAAUAAGCACCGGCUAACUCCGUGCCAGCAGCCGCGGUAAUACGGAGGGUGCGAGCGUUAUCCGGAAUUACUGGGUUUAAAGGGUGCGUAGGCGGCUAGAUAAGUCAGGGGUGAAAGGUGGCAGCUUAACUGUCAAAUUGCCUUUGAAACUGUUUAGCUUGAAUGAGGAUGAGGUUUGCGGAAUGUGGCAUGUAGCGGUGAAAUGCAUAGAUAUGCCACGGAACACCGAAUGCGAAGGCAGCAGACUGGACCUUUAUUGACGCUGAGGC